rnacentral:rRNA from 1 species
UCCUACGGGAGGCAGCAGUCGGGAAUAUUGGACAAUGGGCGGAAGCCUGAUCCAGCAAUGCCGCGUGUGUGAAGAAGGCCUGAGGGUUGUAAAGCACUUUCAGUGGGGAGAAAGAGGCCGUUGUUAAUAGCAACGGCGGAUGAUGUUACCCAAAGAAGAAGCACCGGCUAACCCUGUGCCAGCACCCGCGGUAAUA